rnacentral:rRNA from 1 species
UACGGAGGGUGCAAGCGUUAUCCGGAUUCACUGGGUUUAAAGGGCGCGUAGGCGGCCAGCACAAGUCAGUUGUGAAAUCUCCGGGCUUAACUCGGAAAGGUCAACUGAUACUGUGCGGCUAGAGUGCAGAAGGGGCAACUGGAAUUCUCGGUGUAGCGGUGAAAUGCGUAGAUAUCGAGAGGAACACCAGUGGCGAAGGCGGCUCACUGGACCGGUACUGACGCUGAUGCGCGAAAGCGUGGGGAGCAAACGGG